CGUUCAAAUGCCGGUUCCCGUACGAUCACCGAAGUUAAGCAACGUCGAUCCUUUUCAGUAUUUAGAUGGGUGACCGCUUGGGAAUACCAGCUGCUGUAAG